GACGAGCCACACAAACGUUAUUCGGAAUCACUGGGCUUAAAGGGUGCGUAGGCCGCGCAGCAAGUUGGGUGUGAAAUCCUACAGCUUAACUGUAGAAGUGCACUCAAAACUGCUGUGCUCGAGGGAGACAGAGGUGAGCGGAACUGAGGUGGAGCGGUGAAAUGCGUUGAUAUCCUCAGGAACACCGGUGGCGAAGCGGCUCACUGGGUCUCUUCUGACGCUGAGGCACGAAAGCUAAGGUAGCGAACGGG
rnacentral:rRNA from 1 species